rnacentral:tRNA from 4 species
GACUCCGUAGCUCAGUUGGUAGAGCAGCUGACUCUUAAUCAGCGGGCCCAGAGUUCGAGUCUCUGCGGGGUCA